AUACUUACGGGGUAGGGGAGAUAACGUAACCACGAAGGCGGUUUUCCCAGGGCGAGGCUUGUACCGCAGCCUGUGAUUUCCCCAGAUGUGGGAAUCUCCACUGCAUAAUUUGUGGUAGUGGGGACUGCGCUCGUGUUUUGCCCUG
rnacentral:snRNA from 1 species